CAGCCCUCCACUGAUGGUCAGGAAGGGCUUUGUGUGUUUUUUUACCCCCACAGACUCCACCAUCACCCACGUUCGACGCGACAGGCCUCCCGUGCUGCAGAUGAGCAGCACCACGACGUAUGCCACGGUGACCCGCACCCAGCCCCGAUAGCGCUGCCACAGGGCAAGGGCACAGGAGCCUUGCCCACAGCUGCCUUUGCUCUCUUGCAGAGGGCUCCUGCAGCUGUAAGGUGGGGCUGGAG